rnacentral:rRNA from 1 species
AACGAACGCUGGCGGCAUGCCUAACACAUGCAAGUCGAACGAGACCUUCGGGUCUAGUGGCGCACGGGUGCGUAACGCGUGGGAACCUGCCCUUAGGUUCGGAAUAACUCCCCGAAAGGGGUGCUAAUACCGGAUAAUGUCUUCGGACCAAAGAUUUAUCGCCUUUGGAUGGGCCCGCGUUGGAUUAGCUAGUUGGUAGGGUAAAAGCCUACCAAGGCGACGAUCCAUAGCUGGUCUGAGAGGAUGAUCAGCCACACUGGGACUGAGACACGGCCCAGACUCCUACGGGAGGCAGCAGUGGGGAAUAUUGGACAAUGGGCGAAAGCCUGAUCCAGCAAUGCCGCGUGAGUGAUGAAGGCCUUAGGGUUGUAAAGCCCUUUUACCCGGGAUGAUGAUGACAGUACCGGGAGAAUAAGCUCCGGCUAACUCCGUG